AGGAAAUUAUAUUUUUUAAAGAUAGAUUGCACCAAUACUCUCACCCCCUUUUUUCCCUCGUUCACUAUAGACCGCACAAAGGGCACGCGCAUCCCUGCACUUAGCUCGCUUGCUACUAAUGAUAACGUGAUGGCAACAGCAACAUACGUGAGUAUUUAUACUGCCACCACCAAUAUUUAGCCACCAUCUUCGAUCCUCACUCGAAGACCUCGGUAGCUUUAAGGUCUCCAAAGUUUAUGUAUAAUGAAAGUAAAAUAAAAAACACUAAUUUACUGCUUUCUAAAUAUCGUUUGUAUUAAGCUUUUUGGUUCUUAGUCAACACACAAGGCUAAGUUGUUAAAGGGUUAACCUGGCGGGGCUGAGAAUGUUGGCUGCAUUCAGACCCUGCUCAGUAUACAGCUACUCUGCUCUUCACUUAGACCGAGGCAGUGCUAGCUACUCUAUAACACUGGGUGAAUCCGCCUGUCAUUACUUCACAGACGAAAGUCGCAGACUUAAUUGACCGAUUGAUCAAUCCUGGGUACACAAGCUGUGCAAUCACACUUGCUUAUAUUUCUUUUUAACUUAUAUCUAUGUACAUUCACUUUAAUGAAAAUUAAAAAUGAGAAAUGUUAUCCUUGCUAGAGUAUUGUGAUGGACCGAGCAGUGAAGGAACGUCAGGCACAGGUUAAAGUGCAAAAAAAGUUUUUUUAUUUGACCCCAAAACAAACUUAAAUAAUACAGAGAAUUCAAAAUCUUGGGCCCAUAACAGAGGUCAAAGUAACAGACCUCUUUGUUGCCAGAAAAGCUGGCAACAAACCCUACUACUAACUCAAACAAACUAACCUACCUAAACGAGACAAAGGGGAAACUUGGCUGAUCAGCCAACAAAAACAAAAACAACACACAGAAAGGCGUAGAACACACAAGCCCAACUAAAACUAACAUAACAAAUUCCAUUUCCCCCAUGAUCCAGAAUUGUGGUAUGACCCAAUUUGCAGGUCUCCACAUAGGCUUGCUCCGCCCUUUUUCCGCCUUUUAGCUCAUCAACCAAGGGACUGGGAGCAGCGGCGACUGAGAACAUCCGUGAGGUUCACCUGAGGGGGAGAUCUUUGGUUGCCAGUCUUGAAGAACACCAGCACAUAUCCAUACAAAGGUAUGAAAGGUAGAGGGUCUGGAUACUUAUUUUACACUUAAUGGAGCGCUAUGGAGAAAAGACACAUGGUUAGCCCUUGCAGAACUCAUAGGCCAGCAACUGGAUUUCUGAAGGAAUGUCUACGUAAUAUCAGGAAAAGGCUUCGUUCUGUGAGGACGAAGAAUUCAGCACCAAAGGAACCCCAAGAAAAUGUUCAUCUUGCCUGGUACUAGAAGAUAGAUUUGUUUCUGCUUUUUGCAGCAAUCUAAGGUCUGUUGAUGGCUGCUUCAAAGCAUUUUUUGUUUUUGAUGCAAGUUACCCAAAGUCAUGUGCCCGGGUUCGGGAAUUCCUUCACACUGUCAUCUAUCCCAGGAAUAGAUGAAUCCCAGGACUCGUUUAGCUAUGAUGGAAGCGUAAAAUGUUGCUCACAAAGGUGCAUGAAAUGAUCCGAGAGGGAGAUUCCCUCUUGCCACUUUUCCAAAGUGGUGAUGUAUGUUAAAUACUGAGAUCAUCAUCAAUUCAUCAUUUUUUUUUAAAGUUAAGAGUUUUUACAUGUACUCUGUUCUAAAAACAGAGAUGACUUUACAUAGCAUGUCUUCAUGUGUGUUAACAUGCACAUGUGCUGUAACCAAAGACCGAUUUGAAGUAAUGGAUAUAACAUAAUGAAUUAUAUACUUUUUUGUUACUUGCAUUUUACUUUCAUUGAUAUAUUUUUUUAUGAAUUUUGCUGUCUAUAUUCUAUGUAUCAUAUGGCAAUAAAAAGAUUUUUUUGAGAAAAUAUGUUUUGAAUCUAGUUUUUAUAUGCUGAAUUUUAUAAUAAGUAGAAAUCUUAACCCAAAUGUUAAUGGUAAUAUAACCCUUGUGAUGGGUUCUGAGUUUCGACCCAAGUUUUGGUAACCUCAACUUUAACCAUUGGUCGAUUUAACCCAAUUUUUGGAUAGUUAUCCUAACGCAGUGUGCUGGGUCAAACCAAUAACCCAACCCUGUUAAGUUGAAACAACCCAGCCUUGGGCUGGUCCAUAUUUGACC